CAGUCAGAACGAAUAUAUGUAACUAUAACAGUAUUAAAAUUAGUGUCGCAGCCAGUGUAAGAAAAGCAGUCAAGGUAUAUAACGUCAGAACGAAUAUAUGUAACUAUAACAGUAUUAAAAUUAAUGUCGCAGCCAGUCGAUGGCUAGAUAAGUGCCGGAGCCGGAUAAGACACUGCGCGGUUGCAACGAGGAAUGCUGCAGUACAUCAAUAUCCAAGUUGCCCGUAUUCUCAAAUAGGUUGUAACGCGUCCGCUUUGCCGUCCCCUGAAUCGACUGAUGGCUGACCAUGAAGAGCUGGAUCUCAUUGGAAUGGACAAUGGUGCGAUCGACGACGGUUCCCGGAACAACAUUGGUGAACUUAUUUUAUUGCGAUGGAGCUCCGUUCGGAAAGAAGCGCGGAUGAUGCCGCUUAACUACAAUGACUCAGCAAAUCUUGGGUUUAAUAUGCAUCUGAAAGGAAGCGAAGCAGGCCGCAGAAAUCCCCAUCAACUCAUCUUUCUUAAUCUUGGGAAACUGUCCAUCACUGCCACCAUCACGAUAAUAGCUAAUGUGCUCGGGAUAGGAUAUGCGGAACUGAUGAUAGACACGCAGGUGCUAUCGUUUGGUGUUCGUUAUUACACCAAAUUUCGGGCACUUUUUUGAUGUCGUGACGUAAAAGGCUGAGCUGAAGGAUGGCAUUCUCACACAAUGCAUCAAGCAAAUAACAGUCGAGCGUAAAUGUAACGCGCAGUUUAUUGGUAACGUUCUACUUAAGGUCAAUUCCAAACUGAACGGCACCAACCACAAACUAAGGGAUGACCUGCACUGUCAGCUAAAGAACACCAUGUUUUUGGGUUCCGAUGUGACUCAUCCGUCGCCCGAUCAGCGAGAGAUCCCCAGUGUGGUGAUGGCUGGAUAAAUGCCGGAGCCGGAUAAGACACUGCGCGGUUGCAACGAGGAAGCAUGUGACAAAGAUUGUAUUUGAAUUGCUGCAGUACAUCAAUAUCCAAGUUGCCCGUAUUCUCAAAUAGGUUGUAACGCGUCCGCUUUGCCGUCCCCUGAAUCGACUGAUGGCUGACCAUGAAGAGCUGGAUCUCAUUGGAAUGGACAAUGGUGCGAUCGACGACGGUUCCCGGAACAACAUUGUUGAACUUAUUUUAUUGCGAUGGAGCUCCGUUCGGAAAGAAGCGCGGAUGAUGCCGCUUAACUACAAUGACUCAGCAACUCUUGGGUUUAAUAUGCAUCUGAAAGGAAGCGAAGCAGGCCGCAGAAAUCCCCAUCAACUCUUCAUUCUUAAUCUUGGGAAACUGUCCAUCGCUGCCACCAUCACGAUAAUAGAUAAUGUGCUCGGGAUUGGAUAUGCGGAACUGAUGAUAGACACGCAAGUGCUCAAGGGCUACCGUCCUCAAUCUCCUCCAAGGCAGAGCGUUGCAAGCGAUAUUGCAUGUUAUAUGAAGCCCCGAAUGGAUCAUGGGUGGCGGCAACACCCACCACACUGGGGAUCUCUCGCUGAUCGGGCGACGGAUGACUCACAUCGGCACCCAAAAACAUGGUGUUCUUUAGCAGACGGUGCAUCUCAUCCCUUAGCUUGUGAUUGGUGCCGUUCAGUUUGGAAUUAACUUUAAGUAGAUAGCCAAUAACCUGCGCGUUACAUUUACGCUCCACUGUGAUAUGCUUAAUGCAUUGUGUGAGAAUGCCAUCCUUCAGCUCAGCCUUUUACUUCACGACAUCAAAAAAGCGCCCGAAAUUUGGUAUAAUAACGAACAGCAAAUCAAAUUGAUUUCGAAAAAGGAGCAUCCAGUUCACGUUCAUCUUUGUAAUUCCGUUUCUCGUCCUUGGUAUCCAAUGGUGUAUGUGUAUCCAUGAAAAUUCUAAGCAAAAAACCAUUAAAAUAGAUCUUAUUGUUUUUAUUUACUG